CACGCCGUAAACGAUGGAUACUAAGCAUUGGCAGUAUCGACCCUGCCAGUGCUGUUAAUUUAAGGUAACCCGUUAAGUAUCCCGCCUGGGGAGUACGAGCGCAAGCUUAAAACUCAAAGGAAUAGACGGGGACCCGCACAAGCGGUGGAGCAUGUGGUUUAAUUCGACGGUAAACGAGGAACCUCACCAAGGCUUGACAUCUAGCUGCAAGGUCUGGAAACAGACUCGCCUUCGAGGGUGCUAGACAGAUGC
rnacentral:rRNA from 1 species